GAUGAACGCUGGCGGCGUGCUUAACACAUGCAAGUCGAGCGAACGGACGAGAAGCCUGCUUGUCUGAUGUUAGCGGCGGACGGGUGAGUAACACGUGGAUAACCUACCUAUAAGACAGGGAUAACUUCGGGAACUCGGAGCUCAUACCGGAUACUAUUUUGAACCGCAUGGUUCAAAAGUGAAAGACGGUCUUGCUGUCACUUAUAGAUGGAUCCGCGCUGCAUUAGCUAGUUGGUAAGGUAAAGGCUUACCAAGGCAACGAUGCAUAGCCGACCUGAGAGGGUGAUCGGCCACACUGGAACUGAGACACGGUCCAGACUCCUACGGGAGGCAGCAGUAGGGAAUCUUGCGCAAUGGGCGAAAGCCUGACGGAGCAACGCCGCGUGAGUGAUGAAGGUCUUCGGAUCGUAAAACUCUGUUAUUAGGGAAGAACAGAUAUGUAAGUAAAUGUGCAGAUCUUGACGGUACCUGAUCAAAAAGCCACGGCUAACUACGUG
rnacentral:rRNA from 1 species